rnacentral:rRNA from 1 species
AGUGAACGCUGGCGGUAGGCCUAACACAUGCAAGUCGAACGGCAGCACAGUAAGAGCUUGCUCUUACGGGUGGCGAGUGGCGGACGGGUGAGGAAUACAUCGGAAUCUACUUUUUCGUGGGGGAUAACGUAGGGAAACUUAUGCUAAUACCGCAUACGACCUACGGGUGAAAGCAGGGGAUCUUCGGACCUUGCGCGAUUGAAUGAGCCGAUGUCGGAUUAGCUAGUUGGCGGGGUAAAGGCCCACCAAGGCGACGAUCCGUAGCUGGUCUGAGAGGAUGAUCCGACACACUGGAACUGAGACACGGUCCCGACUCCUACGGGAGGAAGCAGUGGGGAAUAUUGGACAAUGGGCGCAAGCCUGAUACAGCAAUACCGCGUGGGUGAAGAAGGCCUUCGGGUUGUAAAGCCCUUUUGUUGGGAAAGAAAAGCAGCAGGUUAAUACCCCGCUGUUCUGACGGUACCCAAAGAAUAAGCACCGGCUAACUUCGUG